CCCCCUAACUUGUUUUCCCUCAUUUUAAUCGAUCAUCAUUCCUCAAAUUUUCUUUUACACAAAGUCUAACCACCAUAACCUGUUCUUGAGCUCUAGGACGACUAGAAUGUAUGCUUUUUAUGGUGGGGUUACGAGUAUAUUUUGGUCAACUUACAAGAGCCAGCGCAGUGUAAACUUUUUCAGAUUUAUAGUUAUUAGGUGGUACUAGGGGUGAAACUGGUGAGAAUAAUUUCUGAAUCUGAAUUUUGCAGAUAUAAGAAAGAGUUUUCAAUAUCCAUGCAGAUAUGGAUAAUCCGAAUCCAAUCGUGUGCGGAUAUGGGGAAGAGUUUUCGUCUAUGGUUUUAGCGAAACCCGAUGGAUAUGGAUUAUCCGAUAAUUAAACGUGGAUUAUUCAAGGUUUAUAAUAGGAUAUCCGACUAAUAAGAAAAAUAAAAGGAGCUUAAUUAUGAAUCAUUGUUUUUGUUUUAUGUGCUCACUCUAUACACCUAAGUAUAAACUAUUCUCUGAGGUAUGAACUAAUAAUUUAUGAUAAUUUUUAUUCGACACCAAGUCCGAAGUGUUAGCGUGAACCGUUAAGAUCACUUUAGAUGUGAUUUGUGAACCAUAAAGAUGAGUAUUUUUCAUUUUAAGUUGCUACAUUAUGACUUUAUUUGGGGAAUUAGUCACCAUAAAAAACUACAUGUAAGCAUGUAUUAGCUGGCUAUUUUAUUCCGUGUUUGCUCUGAUACUGAUCCGACA
rnacentral:lncRNA from 1 species